AGCGCCACGAGUGGCAACCGUGUAUUUGGCCUAAAGCGUCCGUAGCUGGUAUAAUAAAUCCUUUGUGAAAUUGUUGGGCCUAACCUAACAUCGUGCAGAGGACACUGUUAUGCUUGAGACCGGGAGGGGUUAGAGGUAUUUCUGGGGGAGCGGUAAAAUGCUAUAAUCCCAGGAAGACCACCUGUGGCGAAGGCGUCUAACCAGAACGGAUCUGACAGUGAGGGACGAAAGCCAGGGGAGCAAACC
rnacentral:rRNA from 1 species